rnacentral:lncRNA from 1 species
CUCAUCCGCAGCCCCGGGAGGCGCGGCUGGGCCACGGGGACCCGCUCUGCCCGCAGGGGCGUCCCUCCGCGCUGCUGCAGCCCCGCCGUGUCCCUGCGUACCCCUCAGAGACGUGGAGCGCCUGAGGGCUCGGCAGGGAGGCGGGAUGUGGCUGUGCCCGCAGGGCUGUGGUGCCCCUCUCCCCACGGAGCAGGAUGGAAGGAAACGCCCCAGGGAGCGCCGCUGGAACACUGGAAGGGAUCGAGCCAACCGUGCCAGGCUCUGGCUGCUGGAAAACUCAGAUCCUGUUGCUUCUGGGAAAACCUCAGAGGAUGAGCAGGAGCAGCUCCAGGCUGCUGCAGCUUCUCCUGGUGGGCAGCAUUCCCAAGGAGGGGAAACGCCGAGUCCUGCCCCGCUGAGCUGCCAAAGGAGCUCAAAUCCAAGGAUUUAAUGCCCACGGAGCACUGCGCAACCCCCAGACCCCUUCCAACAGUUCCACCUUGGAUAAACAGCCCCAAAAUCCACCUGCGGCGUGUCCGGAGGUUCCCUGCCCAAAUUUUGGGCUUGGCAGAGGAGCGGGAGACUCAGGGUCGGGGCAGACCGCAGGGAUCAGGAUUUGUUUUAGCUGGAGGAUUAUUGGGAUAUUUUUAGGAGUCCAGUCGCCAUCUGCCGGCAAACUCUGGCUCUUGGGUGGGAAUUUGGGGAAAAGUUCCGGAUUUAAGGCAGGUUCUCUGACUCCCUGUGUGAAAAAUGUGGGUUUUUUAGGAUGCUGAAGGGGCAGUUAAUUUUUGAGCGAGGAAAAGGAAAAGCAAGUCCCACCCCAAAAACCUUUGUGUGGCUCGGAGCUCAAAGGACAACAUUGGAGUGGUGAAUAUCUUGGAUAUAGAUGAGAAAGGUUUAAGAAAUUAUGGGCACUUGGGGAAUUUUGGAUGUUUCUGAAGGCUAGAGUUGAUCCUUGUGCUCCGUAAGAGCAGCUUUGGGCUUAAAUGAAGAGGCACAAAUUGGAUGGAAGGACACAUGUACUCCUGGAUGUCUGCAG